CGGAAAGUUAUCUUACAGCAAACUGUAGUUUGCCUCCAAGACACCAUUGUCUCCCUUUAAUCUUCUCUUUUGUAUACAUUUGUUACCCAUGGUGUUCUUUGUUCCUUUUCAUAAGCUAAUACCACUGUAGGGAUUUUGUUUUGAACGCAUAUUGACAGCACGCUUUACUUAGUAGCCGGUUCCCAUUUGCCAUACAAUGUAGGUUCUGCUUAAUGUAACUUCUUUUUUGCUUAAGCAUUUGCAUGACUAUUAGUGCUUCAAAGUCAAUUUUUAAAAAUGCACAAGUUAUAAAUACAGAAGAAAGAGCAACCCACCAAACCUAACAAGGACCCCCGAACACUUUCAUACUAAGACUGGUCUUGUUUUGCCACCCAGGCUGGAGUGCAGUAAUAUAAUCUUGGCUCACCGCAGCCUCAACCUCCUGGGCUCAAGCAAUCCUCCCAUCUCAGCCUCCCUAGUGGCUGGAACUACAGAAAGGGUACAUUCGCCAGCAGUUUUGCCACGAGAGUACACCGAACAAAGAGACAGGGUCAUUUGUAACCUGAUGCGUCCACCCUACUGCUGUGUCCGGUUUCCAUUGGCUGGAACGGGACCUCAUAUUCUGUAUUUGUCCUGAUUGGGAAGCAACUUAAAACUUUUUAAAAGAGGCGAAGGCAGAAGAGAACAAAGGAAGGAGAAAGUAACUUGUGGAAUGGUGAGAAAGGCAUGAGGCGAAUUCUCAGCCAUGACAAGGCUGAAGGCCAGCAGGAACAGGCUCUAGCGAAAUGGGUGCUGUGUCCCCUUCCUGCAUGUGGCAGAAAGUUGCAAAGUUUCAUGGAUUUGAAUGUGAACAUCUGUUCCCUGGACGCACUGCCAACAACGUGGUCCAACUGGUACUCAUCGUUGGAACUACCAAGUCAACUAAUUUUUUUUUUUUUUUUGAGACAGAGUCCCACUCUGUCGCCCAGGCUGGACUGCAGUGGCGCGAUCACAGCUCACUGCAGCCUUGACUUCCCCAGGGUCAGGCGAUUCUGUCACCUCAGGCUCCCUAGUAGGUGAAGACUACAGGCAGACACCACCACAUCUGAGUAAUUACUUUUUGUAGAGAUGGGGUUUCGCCAUAUUGCCCAGGCUGGUCUUGAACUCCUGACCUGAGGUGAUCCACCAGCCUCAGCCUCCCAAAG
rnacentral:lncRNA from 10 species